UAAGGAUGAUGAUACAAGCCUACAAUUCCAUCACUCAGAAAGGCAGGAGGAUGGCUCACAGUUGAAGGCCAGCCUGGACUACAGAUGGAGAGAAACAGCAAUGGGGCCAUGAUAUGACGACUGCAGACCUCGGAGGGUGGUUAAGAAGUCCAGAGAACAGCAGAAACCAGAAGCUCUGGACAGCCUGGGGGCUUUUUGGCAACAAGGCACCAGGGGCCACUGAUACCAUAUUCCAUAUUCCAAGUGCACAGUAGCUGUUAAAUAAAGUGCAGAACUGUCUACAGGAAUGCCAUUUCCAGACCCAGCCUUCAUCCUACAGUCCCAGGAUCCAUGAUCAUUUCUUCAAAUGCUACCAUCUCCCUUGGCAUCAAGCCAGAGGUGUUCCAGCACUGAAAGGACAUCUGGCCUUCAUGAUUAAAUAAAAUGGCCCUACCCAUGGUCUGGUAGGGGACCAGCUUCUGAAACACAGUUUCUAAACUAAAUUAUAAGAGUUUUUGGAUUCUUUGUUCACAGCCUUGUUAUGAAUAUGCGUUUGUUUUUGCAUAUACUCAUAUACUCAGUUGUGCAUGUUCAUAAGAAGUGUCUAUAUACGUGUGCAUGCAUCUGUGUAUGUAUGCAGAGGCCAAACAACAGUCUCAGCGUUGUCUUCAGAAGCUUUCCACCUUUUGCUUGAGACAGGGUCUCUUACAGGCCUGGAUGUGUAAGAGUCAAAGCUGGCUGAAUGAAGAGAUUCCGGGCUCAGGUCCUCACACUUGCAAGGCAAGAACUUCAUCUUUACCGGCUGAGCUGGUCUCCCCACCCCUUAUUAUGCAUACAUUAUUCUGCUGGCAGACCGGAUGAGCAGUCUUCCUGCUGAACAAGGGUCACUGUGCCCGAAAUUGAACUGGGAGCUCCUGACAACACCAUUCUGCCCACACAUCUCACAAAGCCGCACUAAAGAAGCAGUACCCUUCAUUCCCAAGAAGUGCGCGCAUGGAUUCUCAUUCCCAGAAAUGUUUCCUCAGCUUAAUAUCCACUUGUCAAGGGCAAGCUGAGCGAGCUUAUGGGCAGAAGUCAUGUCAACUAAACAUACCUAAAAUAGCAGUGGAGAGGUAUAGGUGCAGCUCUGUGAAGCCAGCAGCUCUUACUCAUCAGCCUGGUUAUUCCUUUUGUGGGAUUUAACUCUCCAAACAGGAGCUGGCAGUAAUCACAGUGCUCAGGGCUGUGCGCACACACACACAAUGUUUGCUUGUGGCUAACAGCUGCUGGUAAAUAUGAACACUUAUGUGGGCUACAGUCUCUUCUGUGCUCAGUGGCUAUCAGAAGACAGGGAUGUAUAGUGCACUAUCCAAUAAACAGUUCCAUCCAUAAAGGGAAAAUUAUAAGCACUUCUGAUGCUGUAGAUAGAAUUCUAAUUUCACUUUUUAAAAUAACAGUUUUAUUACAGUAUUAUUCAUACACCAUAAAGUUUACUUAUUAAAGGAUAUAGUGGGGGAGGACAUGGCAGCCUAACAACUCUAUUUAGAACAUCAUUUCCUAAAGCAAGUUCUUCACUCAUCAGCAAUCUCUCAGCCAGCCAGCCAUUCCCAGCACUAGUUGGUGUCAGAACACAUUUUUAUCCCAACUAUGGACACAGAACCUUACAUUAUUGGCUAUUUUCUGACCUGUUUCGCAUACACAGCAUUUGAGUCCUAUCCAUGUCACAGUAUAUGCCUUACUUCAUUUUUAUGGUUAAGUAAUACUCCAUUUACACAUUCAGUACAUUUUGUGUAUGCUCUGUUCAGUUAAUAAAUA